rnacentral:rRNA from 1 species
UUUUAAUGAGAGUUUGAUCCUGGCUCAGGACGAACGCUGGCGGCGUGCCUAAUACAUGCAAGUAGAACGCUGAAGGAGGAGCUUGCUUCUCUGGAUGAGUUGCGAACGGGUGAGUAACGCGUAGGUAACCUGCCUGGUAGCGGGGGAUAACUAUUGGAAACGAUAGCUAAUACCGCAUAAGAGUGGAUGUUGCAUGACAUUUGCUUAAAAGGUGCACUUGCAUCACUACCAGAUGGACCUGCGUUGUAUUAGCUAGUUGGUGGGGUAAGGGCUCACCAAGGCGACGAUACAUAGCCGACCUGAGAGGGUGAUCGGCCACACUGGGACUGAGACACGGCCCAGACUCCUACGGGAGGCAGCAGUAGGGAAUCUUCGGCAAUGGACGGAAGUCUGACCGAGCAACGCCGCGUGAGUGAAGAAGGUUUUCGGAUCGUAAAGCUCUGUUGUAAGAGAAGAAUGAGUGUGAGAGUGGAAAGUUCACACUGUGACGGUAUCUUACCAG